AACGAACGCUGGCGGCAGGCUUAACACAUGCAAGUCGAACGCAUCCUUCAGGGUGAGUGGCAGACGGGUGAGUAACGCGUGGGAACGUGCCCUUCAGUUCGGGAUAACCCAGGGAAACUUGGGCUAAUACCGGAUACGUGCGAGAGCAGAAAGAUUUAUCGCUGAAGGAUCGGCCCGCGUCUGAUUAGCUAGUUGGUGGGGUAAUGGCCCACCAAGGCGACGAUCAGUAGCUGGUCUGAGAGGAUGAUCAGCCACAUUGGGACUGAGACACGGCCCAAACUCCUACGGGAGGCAGCAGUGGGGAAUAUUGGACAAUGGGCGCAAGCCUGAUCCAGCCAUGCCGCGUGAGUGAUGAAGGCCUUAGGGUUGUAAAGCUCUUUCGUCCGGGACGAUAAUGACGGUACCGGAAGAAGAAGCACCGGCUAACUCCGUGCCAGCAGCCGCCGUAA
rnacentral:rRNA from 1 species